AGGCAAGAAAGUGCCACAAGAGCUUAAUCUGAACUCAGCUGGGGACCAUUGACUUCAGAAGGCUGUGGAUGAGGUCUGUUCCUGAAUAUGGAUGGGUCUGCGCGUAGCAGGGCUGCCUUUGACUCAUCUGUCAAUUUGAUCGUGUAAAGCCUCUGUUUUCAGCUGGCAUCCAGUGCAGAUUUCAAAGCUGUGACUCACCCGUUCCUGCAGAGUUGAGACUAAAAGGGAAGAUGAAAAUAAGCUUUUGCAUGGAAGAAUUUGAAGAGGUUUUGGACGGUCAAUACGUUCAUGGAGCCUGUUGGCAACGAAAUACCUCCAGACCUCUCAUCCUCACCAAAAGGUAUG